rnacentral:lncRNA from 1 species
AGUAGUAGUAGAUAAAGUAUUGCAAUUGUGUAGUGUUCCAUUGAAGUCUGAAGUGUGUAUUGAAUUGUGUGAAUUGUCUCCAAGAGCAAAAAGAGUAGUCCCUUUUUAUAAUGCAGAAGACAAGUAAGGAAAAAGGUAAGAAUAGUUUUCAAUCAAUUACAUAGGAUUUCCCUUUGGUUAAGGGAUUUUAUUUCAAACGGGCAUGGGAUAGUUAAGGAAAGAUAAACACUUAAAAAUCCUUCCAAAGUAUCAUAAUACUGGUAAAUACACAGAGUUUAUUCAAGGCACGAAUCAUAAAGUACAUGAUUUGUGAGAAAUAAGGCAAGUAGAUGAAUCAAGCAGCUAGUAAAUUGAAAGCUUUGUUCGAAUGAACUUAGUCAAAAAAAGGGUGGAAAAGUUCAAUUGGAAAAAUCAGUAACAAAUCAAUCGAGCUUUAUUAAAAGGAAAUUGGAAUCAAUUACAAGUUGGCAGAACCCUUUUGAAAGAAAACCCUCAUAUAUAACCACACAAGUGUCUAACAAGAAAGAAAAGAUUGGCAUAGACAGUUUCAAAAUCAUAAGCAAAGGAAAGUUCCAGCUUAGUUUAUGGACUUAGCAUGAGUUUGAGAAAGCCCAGGGUCCCAACUAGAACCCUAGUCCCAACACAGAACCCAAAACUCGCGAAAAAUCCCAAACCCGAGGGUUUCUAUUCGAGUAGGGUACAAAAAUAAGAAGGCAAAUCAUUGAAACGGACUCAAGGGCUCUUUCAGAGUGCACAGAUACAAUAGCAAUCUCGAAGCAACAGAGUGAAAAAUCAUAAAGAACAUGUUUAAGAAAAGCUCAGACUCAAGAAAGUUCAGGAGAGAAAAGAGGUGACAUAGAUAUUAAGCAACAAUAGAUUGAACAGUUUUAGGACUCAAACAGAGGUCCAGUAAAGUCAAACAAGAAGCUUAGUAAGAAAAUAGUAAAGGAACACAUAGUAUAGACAUUUAAAAGCAUGUUGUAGGAACUAGCAGAAGAGAUAACAGAGCACGGGUAGAAGAAAAUGCAUAAUAAUGGCAAACCAUAAGAACAUUAGAGAAGACAUGCGAGUGAAGAAAAAAACGCAUAAAAACAAGGCAUAUACAUAUAGAUUCACACAAAGAAAAAGAAGAAGAAGAAACAGAAACCGCUUUAAGAUUUGAAAACCCAUAAUUGAACAAACUAAUUUUGAAAAGAGAAACUUGGGGAAAAGCUUUGAAAGAUCGAGUAUAACACAGAUCUAGAAAAUAAAGAAAGAAAGAACCUCAAACAGCUUUUAAGGUUUCUCGGAAACCCUAGAAAUGAGAAGUCUUAGAAAGGAUAUGGCCUGGAGUAAAUCUGAGCGAUAUCUAAGCUCUUGAGCCUCCAAUAUGUCUGACAGAGCCAGAGAAGCCACAUGAACACAAAUCGGCAAAGGAUCUGAACAGGCAUCAUUGAGGUUGAACCACGAAAGCCUUGAACAACCAUGAUUUGGGGUGAAGGGAAGUGAGCACAGGAUGUCCAUGGCCUGAGAAGCUAUUGACUCCAGCGACAACUGGUCAGAGAAGAUGACAAAGGCGGCUAUGGUUUUGAGUGUUAGAGAGUGUUUGAGACAAGGGGAGGGUUUAGAGGCAUCUACA